rnacentral:piRNA from 1 species
UCAAAAAACAAGCGUAAUGAU